UAUCCUAUCUCACGACCUCAUUUUCCUUCUGGUUAUCCAAUCCUACCACUUGUAUCCUUUCCUCUAUUAUAUAGCCUGUGAAGCUAACUUUUCACCAUUCCCUUCACAACUUUGGAACACUAGUGUUUAUUUCAGCAUUCGGCCACUGAAAAGGAAAUCCUGACUGUCCCAGCUCAGAGCUGUUAGAGAAAAAGCAAUGAAAAAUGAACAAUUGAGACCUCUACUCUGCCCAUCAUUACUUAAAGGGAAUUUGGUAUUCGUAGAAAAUUGACAUGAAAGUGAAAGAAGAAAUCCAACUGAAGAAGAAGCUGAAGACCAUAUGUGCCAUGAGAACAGGAAUCAUAUAUCAGCGGCACAGUGGCUCAAUGGCUC